GGACUACAAGGGUAUCUAAUCCUGUUUGAUCCCCACGCUUUCGUGCCUCAGUGUCAAUAGUAGUGUAGCAAGCUGCCUUCGCAAUUGGUGUUCUGCGUCAUAUCUAAGCAUUUCACCGCUACAUGACGCAUUCCGCCUACCUCCACUACAUUCAAGAUUGAUAGUAUCAAUGGCAGUUCCUUCGUUAAGCGAAAGUAUUUCACCACUGACUUACCAAUCCACCUACGCACCCUUUAAACCCAGUAAAUCCGGAUAACGCUUGCACCCUCCGUAUUACCGCGGCGGCUGGCAC
rnacentral:rRNA from 2 species